UGGGUACGAUCGCCUACAUGAGUCCGGAGCGAAUUGACACGGCCCUCAAUCAUGGCAAGUACGACGGGUACGCAGGAGAUAUUUGGAGCUUUGGUGUGAGCAUUCUGGAGUUCUAUUUGGGGCGAUUUCCGUUUGUGGUGGGGGGGCAAGGAGAUUGGGCCAGCCUCAUGUGCGCAAUCUGCUUGUCGCAUCCGCCUGAAGCACCGCCCACUGCCUCGAUGGAGUUCCGAGACUUUGUUGCUUGCUGUUUGCACAGGGAUCCGGCAAAGAGAUGGAGCGCGGGGAAAUUGUUGCGCCACCCUUUCAUUGUACAGAACCACCACCCGGUUCAUCCGCCCCACCCACUGCUACCUCCACCUCCACCUUUUUAAUCUUCACGAUUUUAUUUUUUCUGGGUUUAUUUGAUGGUGUGAUAUUCAUGAAAUGGGAGAGAAUCGGGAGGGUCUGUCCUACUUUGAGUUUUUUUUUUUUUUUUUAAAUCUAUCCGUCUUGUCUUCUCCUCUACUCGUGUAUCCCUGGAAAGGAAAAUAUCUGUUUUUAAGCAUUGGUUUUUGGGUGCUGAAUUUCUUUUCGGGAGAUUGGAUUCGAUUUGAAAUGUCAUCCUCCAAAGGAAAAGGUUGCACCUAUUGUUUAUCCAAAAUCGUUCUUGUUUUUUUUUGUGCAUGCGGCAUUCUUGUCUGGAUCGCUGUCUUGUUGAAUGCUUAAUUUAAGCCAGACCAAAUUUCUCAAUUAGUAAAGAUUUGGUUGAAUUUUAUAAGAAAAUCUUGUUUCUAUAUCUGGACUUGUUUUUUGUUGGAACGAAAUGCCAACAAGGAAGGGAAUCAGAGCAUUCAUCGUGUGGAUGUGUCAUAAUGAAAUCCGGGGAAAUGCAAUCACUAGAUCAUCCAUCUAACUCAUCUUAAUUAUGUCAUCUUAGUAUGAUUGCAAAAAACGCAUUUUGUAAUAAUAAAAAAAAGGACGGUAUAUACUCGCAUUGAAUAGGGACUUACAAAAGAGUUUGUAUCUUCUUUAUAUAUCCAUAAUGAAUGCAUGAAUAGAUGGCCAGGAAUGCCUCGAACAUGGAAUAUGCUAAAGUAUUGGAAAUCAUUUAAAGUCAUUGCGUUGUAGUGGAGUGUCUCGGUCCAUUCCAUCAAGUGUCACUCGACCAAGUUCAUUGGUUGCACCCCCCAUGAAAAGGAACAUGGUUUCAAAGGAACGAACAUAAAUGCUUUGUGUUCUAAAGUUUUUGUUUUUGGGCGAGUUCUGCACGAAGAGAAGCCUGUAUAUGUGAGUGCAGAGGAAUUUUCAGGCUUUGAAACCACAUUGAGAGUGGUAUGCUGCUUAGGUGAAGUAUUUCGAUUAGGUCCAGAGCCACGAGGGCAUCUCUCUCUAAGCACACGUCACACGCUUUCCGCUCAUCUUGGUCAUCAAAACCUAGAGAGAGUCCAACCAAUAGUAAUCGCUUUUUGAGAAUUUAGAAUGCAGCCUUUCUUUAAUGCUCAAGGUCAGCCUUUCUAGUCCAUCUCCUUUGAAUUGGUCUUUUGGGGUUUGACUGCCGCCUCUGGGUAGGUAUUGCUUUGUGAUGGUAAAUUGGUAAUCAUUGGGUGACCCGUCUAUGGCUACUGGAAAGGUUACUUUUUGCCCUCCACCAAACACCUCGCUAGUCUCUCAACGGUCCUGUCCCAGACAGAUUCUUCACCUCCCUGAAUCAACUUGAUCUAUAAUUAGCUAUGUGGACAGUUACCAUCAUCUGACAGAUUGCAAAUUUCCAUCCAAGCUGUGGAUUUGUCCAGGCCAGCUACCACUUCAGUGGUAAAAUCCUUCUUCGCUUAUCCAUUUAGCUUGAAAUUUGAGAACUUUUAGGGGUCAGCAGCCCAGUCCCUUCCUCUUGUCUGUAUCAAUUCUCUCAAACUUCUCGAUUGCUCCUUCACUGGCCAUAUUCCCUUAGGAUUAUGGGAGUGUUCUAAAUUGGAGCUUUUCAGGGAAGGUUAUGAUCUCUCAGGGCUAUUACAUUAGUACCCCUGAGGUACUGGAAAUUACACCCCCACAGUAGGGUAAUUUCCUUUUACUUUUAACUUGCAGGUUAAUACCGUAAUUUAUCUUCCUUAUUAACUCCACAGUAGGAGUGUUCUAAAUCCUACUUUAGCCCCUAACUAUUCAACUUCUAGCUAUUUAACCCUUCAACUUCCAAUUACGCCUAUUUAGCCCUUAAACUAUUCGAUCGCCUUCUAUCUAGGCCCCAUCUGAUUAGUGGACGGAUGUUAGCACGUGAGUCACAUAUGAUAUUUUGAUGCCAAAAUACAAGGGAUUUUAGAUUUUUCGGUGUCUUAAUCCAACACCUAUAUCCAUAUUUAGGGCAAAUUGGUGCCCUAAUUUACCAUUUAGUUGUGAAAUCAAGUUAGGAUUGGGUGAAAGUGGAAACUAGAAAGCCCCUUCUCUCCCUCCUCCUUUCCUCUCUGUCACUAUAUUAUGCUCUGUUUCUUGCUCUAAAGGGGUCAUACAUACACGUAAAUACAUAGGCAGUUGAGGGAAAAUUCCCUCCAAAAACUAUUUGGUUAGUAAAAUAUCUAUUUUGCCCCUAAGAAUGCAUGUGCGACUCCGUUUGCUAAUUGGAUGGCUGACUUGAUAUAGGGAGAUUGAAUAGUUUGGUGGCUAAAUAGAUGCGAUUAGUAGUUCAGGGGCUAAAUAGCUAAAAUUAAAUAGUUUAAGGGAUAAAAUAGGAUUAAACUUGGAAACAAACUUUAACAGGGGGUCAGUGUAAUUUCCCAUAGGUUAGGGAGGAGUAUGUAUGAAGUCUAAACCACAGGGAGGUCAGUUUAUUUUAUGGGUAAAUUACACAAACCUCUCCUGAGGUUUGCUCCGAUGACAUCAUGACAUUAGUACCCCUUGAGGUACUGAAAAUUACCUACCCUCCUUGAGGUUUUGAUCCACGUUACAAUUAACCCCCUUUGAGGUUUUAAUCAUAAUCAAUUAAUCUUCCAGAAAUGCCAAUUUUACCUCCUUAACUCCCUACCUUUCCACUUUCCAUUCCCAAAUCGAGUAGUUGUAUCAUAUUCUACAAUGAUUAAUUGGGAACUUCUAGUGACGCGGUGUUGACAAAAUGUUGAUGGAAUUUCGGGAUGAAAUUAGGGGGGCGGAGGUUUAGUGGCCGAUGGUUGUGAGUUGUAGAGGUGGGUGGUCAUAGGGGGUUUGGUGACCAGAGUUCUUUAUGAUUGUAGAUGUAGUGGGGGAAGGUGCAUAUGAUUUGAUGGUUGGCGGUUGUGUGGUUGUGGUAGAUGUGGGUGAGGUGGUUUUGAUGGAUGGCUAGGUGGUGGUUGGUGCUAUGGGGAUGGGAGUGAGAGGAAAGAAAGGUGACAAAGAUGCAAUGGUGAAGGGUAUUUAAGGGAUGAGACAAAAGGACAUUGAGGUACUUUUAUUCUAACUUGUAUGGAUAAUAUGGUAAUUUAGUUUCUCUGUUAACUCUCAGUUAGGAGACAAACUGUUAGAGGGAGAGGGGGAGGGGGGGUUAUUAUAAUUUUCCAUAGGUUGGGGGAUCCAUAUUAAGGCCAAACCUCAGGGGAGACCACUGUAUUUUCUCCUAGAGCAAAAUCUAUAUUUUAAGACGUUUUUAACAUGAAAAGGGUUAUGUCCCAAGCUGAAUAAUGCUAGUGAGAGGGUAUUUGUAUGCCUGUUGCCAACCUAAAAUCCCAAUGAUUUCAUUGUUGCCUCUUUAACAACACGAUCUCAAGCAGAGGAACCACCCAUUCAUAGCUUUUGAUACCCUGUUCUCAUACCAUCCGUAUUUGUUUAAACUAGUAUUGAACGAUCCCCCAUUAGUAAGCCGAGUGUUGAACGAUUACCCAUAUUUAGGACAAAGAUCACAGGAUAACAACUUUUAUUCCCACGAAACACAAAAACUGAAUUUUGCACAUUGCGCUUCAGUAAUACCACACAGAUACGAUUCCCCUCCAUAUCCUUAUUAUCUUAUUGAUUAUGGAACCAUAACAGUCCCUCCAUCAUGCACUUGGAAGAGGAAAGAGGACGCCAGAAAAUAUCAAUAUUUAUUUAUUUAAAUCAGAAUAUUUAGAUUCUGAUAACAUUUUACAGAAAAUAUUACAAGAGAAAGUUUAUGAGAGAGAGAGACAGAGAGUUAUAUUUUCGUGAUGCUAGAUAGAUAGAUAGAUAGAUAGAUAUUCUUAAACCCUUGACUCUGCCUCUGCCUCAAGCUAUCUUCUGAGCAAUGUUGAAGACGUGAUGAAUCCCCCCAUGUCAGCUCUUUAUUGAUGCCCCAGUUUGUUAAAAAGCGGUGGAAUGCGGCCAUAAACCUCUCGUGUGCUAAAAAACCCAAUGGUCAGUCCCCAAUUAGGUCAAAAAAAGAGUACACAAGAGAGUAAUAGAUGGGCCACUGCCGCAGCACAACCAAACCAGACCGGCCUAGUGGACAAAGCCAACAAGAGGGACUGACUUGUAUGUAGAGAAAACAAAUCUUUACUAAAUAGCAUUCUCAAUGGAAGAACUAAAAUCUUAGGAUAACAAGAUCUUUCUUGUUACUAAUAUUUAGUACUUCCUUUUGAGAAUCACCGGUGGGAUUUGUUGGGAGAGCGUUUUAGGAAGAUGGGUUAAAAACAAAAAAAGGUUGGUGUGAAACUGGAAUAGUGCAUGAGGCUAAUUAAUCAUCUCCCUGAAUGUACCAGCAGAGAAGCAUGGUGGCACAGCGUCGGAGGAUGUAAAUUCUGGCACGUUGCUCCUCACACCAAGGAAGCACACUUCCGUGUGAAGCCAUGGCCCUUUAUCUUUGAACGGCCACAUGCAUUAUUACUGUUGAACUGUUGCUUUAGGUCAGCCAUGGAUGUUGUAUAAUUGAGGAUUUCAAAGAAAAAUGGAAAGCCAAAGGGAAAAAAAAGCUCACAGUGUGGGAGCUAGACCCUGAGUGGGGCAAAGUAGAGGCCUCAUGUAUUUAUAGUAUACCAAGAAACAAGGGUUGACUAGGUUUGGAGAGGGAGGGGGGUUGAACAUGGUCAGUUUCCAAAAUUGAGGGAUCUAAAUUUGCAUGGAAAGGUGUAGCUAGCUGCUUAUGAGCGCAUUGAUUUUAGAGGGGGUGAACGUGGGCUUGGAUUCUUGUGGAUUAUUUAAAGAGUAGGUGUAGUGUAAAAGAAGGGAUGAUUGUUUGUUUUUUCUUGUGUAAUCGAGUGCAAAUGAAGUAGAAAAUUGGUCCAGAAGCAUGAGAAAAGGAAGGUUGUAUUAAUUAGGACAAGGCAUAGGAAAGGGCACAGGGAACAUGAUGUCGGCUAAUUUAUCUCAGUUCUGAGGUGGGUUAGGGAACAGUUUGAUUGGUUCCACUGGGAACCUUGGUCACAUAAAGCGCAAAUGGGAGCGGGGGCGAAUGAGUAAGAGCGUCUUCUGUCAAAAUACCUUAAAAGCGAUAACUUCUAUUUUAUAUAAUUUUUUAAUCAAAAUAUAAUCAUAUAUUUUGGGAGCGGCGAGUGAGAGCGAGAGCGAGAGCGGGAGUGGAGUCUUAGUAAAAGAAUUAUGUGACCUAGCUGAGAACCACAAAUCCCAACUCUUUCCGUCUCUGUCAUACGCACACGCAUUGCACAUAGAGUGUCCUAUUGUUUUCUUACAAAAUAAAUGGUAUGUUAAUCAUCCACAUAAUUUUUUAUAUUUAUCUUUUGAUGUGACACAACCAUGACCAAUUUUCCAAAAAGACACACAAGUCACAAUUGUGCAAUACUUAUUACGUUUAUGGUGGACCCAUUCUAUCAAAAGUAGUAGAAAUUCAUACUACAAGUGUCUUCUUUCAUUGAGUACCCUAGUAACAGUAGAGAAAUUUAUUUCAGCUUCCAAAAAAUGUGCAAAGUCAAAUUGAAAAAUUAGAUAAUGUAUUAACCUAGAAAAUUUGGACGAGGUUUAAACUCUUCAUUCUUACCGCUAUAAAUAAUAAAUGCCAAGGAUUGACUUAGUAGUUGAGACACUCUCUUAAUAGCCAUGAUACUUAGAUUCGAGUUUUACAGUUCCAAGUGCAACAUCCCAUUUCAUAUCCCUCCCUACGGUUGUCAAAAAAAAAAAAAAACAAUCUUCACUCCUUUUAAUUACAACGAAUAUGAAAAUGUGCACUUUACAUAUAACUCUUAGGACAUCAUAUAGUAACACAUUUUUUCUAUGUAUAAUAUAGACACUUUUAUAAAUAACAACAAUAAUUUUAUAACUAGUUUUAUAAAAUUGUAAGACCAUUGACACAAAAAGUCACAAAGUUUCGCAUUAAAUCACAAACAACUAUUCGUAACAACUAACCCCAAGUUUGAAACCCAUCACAAAAUAAUACAACUCCACAUUUAUUUAUGAUUACAUAACUAAACCAAAAAAACAUAAAAUUUAUAAUUAACACCAUAAAACUUCUAAACUUUCUAUAGUACAUACCAUAUGUACUGUUGCUUUCUUCNNNNNNNNNNNNNNNNNNNNNNNNNNNNNNNNNNNNNNNNNNNNNNNNNNNNNNNNNNNNNNNNNNNNNNNNNNNNNNNNNNNNNNNNNNNNNNNNNNNNGAUGUUUCAAUUAUGUCUGGAAAUAAAGCCCAACCCUUGAAGUGGGCACCCUUCAAAGCCAGAAAUGCCAAAGCAGUCCUAAAACCCCCAAAUACUCUAUAAAAGGACCCUCCCUUGCCUGAUUUCUCACUCUCCUAGUCCACAAACACUUGCCCAAAUAUCAAUCCUCUUCUUGACGGUGCCAACAAGCCUCAGAGGGCAUUGCCAAUCCAAGCAGGCAACCAAUAAGAACAGCUUGAUGAUCCUUGUUCAAACCCAUGUGAACGUUUUGCAUUCUUGCCUCUGUCCUUGUCCACCAGGCCGAACGCGCGUCGGGGCCGUCAAUUUCUACUACAGAGUUUGGGUUUUCCAUGGUCACCACCACUGUGUCCCCUUCCUUGUGUCCGUGGCCCACCACCAAAAAUUGUGUGCUUGGAGCAUAUUUUCCCACUCAUUCACUCUAAAAACGGAUCGAAACCAAAAAUUUUUAAAAAAACGAAACAAAAUACCGAGGGGAUCACGAUUGAAGAAGCCCUGUUUGAGACCCCAGAUCUCAAAUGAAAAAGAACACCCAAAAUCCAUUUGAGAAGCACAAGCACCGGCUUUAAACCUUACAAAUCCAAUCAUUUGAGACCCCAGAUAUCAAAUUUUGAAACAGUGACAAAACCCAAUCAUUUCUGUCCACAGGGAGAGAGAUACAGUGUCCGGAAUUGAAGAAACCCCACUUCAACACCCUGCAUUCCCACACCAAAUGCUGCAAGAAAACCAGAUAGAAUACAGCGUGGUGGUGGGGUUCUUUCUCCCCUACAGCCAAAAGUCUCUCUCUCUCUCUCUCUACUCUACUCGCUACCCCCAACACUGAAAAUUACUGUACCCAUAUGAAAGGUUUGCUCAAACUAAACCCUAAUGCAUGUGGUAAAAGAUCCAGAGACGCAUAACCCACUCUCUCUCUUAACUCUCCACAGGUUACCAUAGGUGGCCUAGAUAGGAUAUUGAAAAAUUAACACUGACAAAGAGAGAAAAGAUAAUCCAGCUGUUGAGGAAGAUUCCAAACACAUGAAAAACACAACUCACUGGUUGGGACUCGCUGCAAGGAUAAUUUAUAACCGUACGGCCCCAAAUUGUAAAAAAUAAAACAGACUCCUGUACAUGAGUGAAAAUAAUGAUUGAAAAAAUAAAGCAAAAUUUCCAAUAUGGAGUGGAUUAAAAUCAUUUAUAUCCAAUUUAAGUUUCUUAGCUUGUGGAGGUCAUGAAUCUUAAAGGUGCAAAUUCUUACUUAAUACAUAUUCUGUCAAAUAUUCUUCUUUCAUUAUCUUAAGCGAGUUUUCGUUAAUGAGUGGCUUAUAUUUUUCGAGAGUCUCGGUUACUAAAAUUUAAAAAUUACUAUAACAACGGCUUUUAGUACCUAUUCUUGAGAAUGUUUAACAAGCGUACUUGCACACUUUUCACACAAAUCAAGGUCAUAUGUUACUAACUAUUUUUUUUUGAUUUUUGAAACUAAAUUUUCAAUAUAUAUGACACCUAUUUGGCUGGCGACGAAUACUUAAUAAGCAAAAAGUCAUAAACUACAGAAACCCCAACCUGAUCAUGUGAUCAUGGCAAUAGAAACACUUGUCUUCUUAAACAAAGUGCAUUUGGGUAGGGUGAUUUUUAUUAAAUGUGGGAUGGUUCGAAUUCUCAGGGGCAUUUAUAGGGAUGAUACAUGUUCUAACUUUGUUUGGUUACACCUUUAUUAUUUUUUUGAGGUGCUCUUUGGUUUUAGAAUGCUUGGUGGUUCCUCCUUGGAUAGUUAAAAUGGCAUUCAAACAUAAGAUUUUUAAAAAAAUCAUUUUUAUAUAUAUAAACCCUGAUCAUGGUAUGCUAACGAAGAUCACAGGGUUAUCACACAUUGUGGGUGACAGGUAAUGUCAAGUGUAAACGCUUAGGCUUGGUGAUAGUGAGUUCUUGUGGGUCUUUCAGACUCAUUAUUCUUAUACAAAUUAUUUUUAUGGACAAAGAACUGGAUCUUCUCUCCGUAGAGUAGGCUUGUUAUGGCUAACCACAAUAAAUCUUGUAAGUUUCCUUUCUUCAUUUUAUUUUUUUAUCGUACUUCCAUUGGUGUGGUUAUGGUUGCUUGAAUCUCGGUGUUCGUGCUUCUCACAUUUAACGUGGAAGUACGAAUGCUGACGAGAAUGGGGACUUUUUUCUUAUGCUAAAAUAAUCAGAAAUUAAAAAAGGCAAUCCAAAGUAAUCAAUAUAAGAAUAUAUACUAAUCAUUUAAAAAUAAGAGUUUCUAUAUUGUAAGAAUAGUCACAACACUGCGCUCCCAAGUUCAACUGACCUAUAAUCCACUAUAGUAAGCCUCCAAAUUAUUUUUUUAUUUAUUAAAUAUAUACGAUUACUUAAUAUCUUAUUCAAUAUGAUAUAUAGCUUACUGAAAUACAUACAUAUUUCCUAUCAAUAAUAGUCACAUUGUGAUUCUAGAAUUCCUAAUUUAUAAAGAAUGAGAAAUCGUAGUGGCUAUCACUUCUUCAUUAGAAGAUGUGGGUGUUUGAAUAUGCUUGAUCGAAUAAAAUUAUUUUUCUCAAUCAAUCUCUCAUGACCUAGGCCUGAGAAUUGGCCUGUUUUAUAAGGAUAAUGGAUUUCUAUUCGCAACCACCCUUAUGUGUAACAAAAAAAUUAGAAACAUUAGGAAAUAUGAAAAUAGUUAUGGUGUCGCAAAAUUCUAAACCCAUUCAACUUAUGAACUUGAAAUGAGAAGAUUGUGAAAAUUGGCCUCAAUUAAAAACCUUUUAGUUUUAAGGGUUGCACUCUUUCAAAAAGUGGUACUCCCUCCCAAUAGAGCUUUUGCGGCUCACAAGGAACCCUUAAUUUUGCGUUAAUGGCUCUCAAAAAUCUGUGAAUUCUAUGCCUAUAUAUACAACCUCCUAUGGCUGUGACAAAAGGUUAAAAAAGAAGCGAGAGAAGAGAUGUAGAGGAGGUAGAAAGAGUGUGAGGGAGGUGGUAGCUGUUUUACCAUCCACAGACAACCAAUAGGUAGGUGAGGGAAGAAAAGGAUAAUCAGAGAAAUUGAGAGAGAGAAACUAUAAAUUUGUAAUUUUUCUUUAUCACAAAUAGUGAAAUCGCUGCCACCAAAGAAAGCAAACAAAUUUAUCGAACCUCGUAAAUAUAUGUGUCUCUGUGUGCGAGAUUGUGUGUUUUUUAGUUUGGUUCUGGGGAUAACAAUUAGUAUCAGAGCUCAAAACAAAGUUUAGGUUUCUUCAUUUGUGUUCUAAAAACUUUUGCGACACAUAGUGAUCAUCUCGAGGAUACGAAUCUUCUAAUCAAACUUCCCAAAACCAAACCGAUAACACACGCGCCAUCAGUGCAACUGAGUUUAGGUGCGUGAGAUUCACGUGACGGCCAAAGGUUGCUGACGAGGUAAGUUCACUCGUCAUGUGCCACAAGUGGUCCACGCACAUCAUAGUAAACAACCACUCAAUCAACAUCACGUUAGCGCCUAGUCAGCAAACGGAAUAUUCAAGGAAUAUUUCUUAGUUUGGGGAAGGAAAAAUUUAAAAUCAGUCCAGAAGUUAAAAAUCUAUUUUUAGUCCUGGACUUUGAGAAAAUAUAGUUUGGUCCAUUAAAUUUAUGAAAAUACAGUUGGGCUCUAAGUUUUGAUAUUAUAAUUUAGGCUCUAGAUUUUAUGAAAAUUUUUGUUUAGUUACCAAAGGUUUUCUUGCAUUCCGAUUCGAUCCGCAGAUACGGAAUUUGUGUAUUUGACCCAUAUCAGUUUUGGUAGAGUUUAUUCUGGUACUCCACAAGAGGGGAAUAUGGCAUAACAGUCAAUAUGGUGGUUCACCCCCACAUUGGCGGAGGUGGUAAAGAAGAUUGAAAAAAUAUCCGCCAUAUGUGAAAGAAUUCUAAGUAGAGAUCUCAUUGUGAGAAGAUCUCAAAUGAGAAUCUCAUUAUUUGGCUACUAGUAUUUAUAGAAAACUUUCGAUAGGAAUCUAAUGUGUGAGAUUCUCUCAUACAUUUGGGAUCUCAUUUUGGAUACUAGCAUUUAUAGAAUUGCUUCGGAAUAGAAUCUUUCAUAUCUGACUAUUAUCAUUUAUGAAGCAAGGCUUUCUAAGUAGGGAUCUCACAUGUGAGAAGGAUAUGAGAAAAGGGAUAUCAUAUUUAGACAGUAUUACAAAGAGGUUUUCGAGUAGGAUCUCAUAUUUGGACACCAACAAUCUAUUAGAUGACUCUCAGUCAUAGAUCUCGGUAAGGUGGAGCUUUACAAUUGUCGAGAAGAUUAAUGAUUGGGUCAAAUUUUUACUGCUUGAACUUGACCUAUCUCUGGCGUCGAAGGUGCAUGGUAGGCAGCGUUACUUUCCGGUUGGGAGAAAUUUUCACUAAGGCAAGAGGUUGGCUCAAUUAAAACCCUUUUGUUUUUCAAGAGUUGUUCUACUCUUAAGAAGUGGUACUCCCUUUCACUAGAGCUUUUGGGCUCCUGAUACGGAUAGCAAGCAGAAGAUUAUUGGAGAUCCGAGGGCAUUGUUAUGCCUGCGUGGUCAUAACUUAAUCUGCUGUAACUUUUGCUGUGUAAUUACGUUUCCUAUUAUAAUAUAUUUUUGAAAAGCUAGCAACGAGGUGAAGACCCAAAAAAUUAUGAUUUUGUUUUUCCGGACCAAGAAAAAUGCAAAAAAAAACGCUUUUUAAGUAUGAUUUUGGCCCAUUUAGUAUUGUGGGCUUAUUUUUGUAAGUUUUUUCUUUAAUUUCGGUUUGGUCCCUGGCCCUAGGAUUUCAAGCACUAUUAUAACUCUUGUUUUGGAUAUUUUCAAGCAUUUUGUGGAGAGAUUAAUAUAGUUUACCGUGCAGUUUUGCCGUAUUUUCCCAAUCGUUCGGUAAUUCUUACGAAUUAACGAACGUUUGAUACUCUUUUUGCCUGAUAUUACACUUGAAUCAACAGGUUUAAGGAAGAAAUCAAAUAUGAAAUCACUACCACUCCAUAAAGUAGGCAAAUUUGCCGAACCUUGUAAAUAUCCGUGUCUGUGUGUGUGAGAGUGUGUGGUUUUUGUUUUGGUUCUGAUCCCCCAACAAAGAUUACUUGUUAAAGAAACCAAUGUUUUGGAUCAUGAGGAUCGUGGAGUGAUUCAUGCAACUGAUUUUCCUUUUUAGGUCCCUUAUUGUACGGUUUCUUCAUGAUAGGGUCCUUUCAACCUAAUUCCCAGGAGCGUUUUCCUCCACAAACUCUCACAUAUGUUUGGAGGGACUGGAAGUGGUUAACUUUUAAGUGAAUUUGUAACUUUUCACCACGACCUUUAAUCUACAAAAAACAAAAACAAAAACAUUGGAUUUGUUUUUGUUGAUUUUUUUUGGAAUUGAAACUUCCUUGGUAGGAAAAAAAACCUUACUUCGUCCUGAUGUGGAAAAUGGGCUCUGCCGCUGUUGAUUUUUACUUAUGAUUCCUGUUUCUCAUGAUAUGGAUCUAGUGGGUUGUUUAUCUUUUCUAUGUAUAUGGAUUGUGUCAUUGAAAAUGUUCUAUUCAAGAUUGGCAAAAGUGAGCAAUAAAAAUGAAGCCUUGUCAAUAUGGAAGAGUAGAUUCGUGUGGUUGAUUCAAAUUUCCCCAAGAGUCAUUUUGUUUUUUACACUCCAAUCCAUCUAAUCCAAUAAAUAAAAAAAGACCACGAUAGAUGCAGAGUGUCUUUUUUUUUCUGAUGAAUUACUUUGUUUUAUUGUUCCUAAUCAUGAUAGUUCUAUUGCGCACAUCAAAGUGACUUGUAAGCACAUGGAUCAGAUUAAUUUCACAUAAAUAUUCAAAUUACUUUUCUAAUUACAAUCUAGAUGCUUGAAAGCAAAAGCCAUUUUGUGUUCAAGUGAUACCGAACUCAACCCAACGGAUGUUUAAAAUGUUAUAGUAAAUUUGGUUGUUUCGGUUUUUAUAGCAAAUCCAGCCCUGAAAAAAAUCUUCCUCCAUGAAGAAUAUUAGAAAAACAAUCUAUUCUUCAUUCUACAAGUUGGAUUAAGCCUUCUAGUCAAUUCAUAGGAUGGUCUGGUAUUUAUUCAUUUGGAAGUAUAAGUGAAGAAGGGCCACCAAGAGAAGAGUUUUUUAUAAACCGCACAAUGGGUCUAAUGAGAAACGCUAUUCUUUUCCCAGUGAUUCUUACGUAUGUUUGGACAUGGGUGGAAAGAAACGAAAAUGUAUUAUAAAACAAUGAAUUGGUGGGCGCCCUUUUUUAUAACAUAAUUUUAACAAGCUGGAAAAAUACAUUUAUUAUCUUCUUUUAUUUUCUCAUUAGGACCAAAAAGAAAAGAGAGAGGAGAGAAAAAAAAUAAAUUUGCUAAUAAUGCACUUUAUUUUCUUGUCUUUUUUUUUUUUUUCUUUUCUUUCGCAUUUUUAAUGAAAUCUAAAAAUAAAAACACACGAAUAGCUGAAGAAAAGCGCGACGGGCUACUAGGCUCGUGUCAGCCCCAUAGAUAGUGGAAGAAGUCCAGUCAACUACGUUUCAAUUGUACUUUUCCUCUUUAUCAUAUAUUUCUUUUGUGCUUUUUAGCAUGAUGUUUAUUAUAUAUCGGAAGAUUCCGUAUGCUUAAGCAUUUUACAUUUAGAUGGAGGAUGGGCCAAUCAUCGUCCAAAAUAGACAUGAAAACUGAGUUCAAAUCACAUUUUAAUAUAUUAAGUAUAACCUGGAUUCUUACUAGUCAAGUUACAUAUACUUAUUAAAAAGCUUCAAUUCUUGGUUCAUGUCUAGGAAUGUAUUAAAAAAAAAAUAAUCAAUCUAUUCUAUUUUAAUAAUAUGGAUGGUCAUGGUCAGCUAUUCAUUAACAUUCGUAACUUUUUUAAAGAAAAAAAAACAAGAAAUAAGCAAAUUUUAUGAAUUGAAUGCGGAACAUAUAUGUAACUUUUCUCAUUCUUGCAUGGAAGAGCUGGGAAGGGAAGACAUACUUGAGAGUAAGAAUGUGUGGAAAGCAUAACAAACAAACAUAGGCAUUGGGUAGGGAUGCGGCAGGCAGAAAAAAUAGGUCAUUGCAAAACAUACAAGCCCGUCCGUCCAUGCCAUUUCAAUUUUCUUUACCCUAUUAUUGUCAAUUCGAUGCAUUUACGUACCAGUACCGCCACAAACUAUUUAUGUGCUUAGAAUGGUCAAAUAUUGGGUGACUACUUGGCAUGAUUAGGUGGGUAAUAGAAUCACAGGGAUGGAUUCAAGAAAGGUUUAUUUGGAUGAAUUUAUCAUAACUGGAUAGCAUUCAUUAGCAUCAUGAUUCAAAAUGUUAACCCUUCUAUUCGUGUUUAUUGUAAUAAAAAAUAUUAAAUAAGCCAAUCUCUAUGAUCUGUUUUUUUAAGUUAUUUUGAGUUCAUAAGCAAAAAACAAAAGUUAUGUCGUCAUACAAUACGACGUAGCUCUCUAGACAAAGAAUUCUAAGUUGCACAAGUCAAUAAUCUUCACGUGAAGUUUUAAAGAAAUUCAUACCCUUAUUUUUACAUGUUAUCAAAAGUAUAAAAAUUACAAGCAGCAAUAAACGCUGGGCUCACAUAGAUCUUUAAAAUCUAGUAUAAUAAAAAUAUAACACGCAGACACAGGGAACGUGUUGUCAAAAAAAUGUCCAAAACCACAAAUACGUAUGAGAUAUAUGGAAAGCAUAAAUCAAACUAGACAUUAUAAUUACACACUAUAGGAAGUGGGGCCACCACCGACACCGGGAGGUCACGUUAUACAUGAGAGAGAGAGAGAGAGAGAGAGAGAGAGAGAGAGAGAACCUGGGGUUAUAUGUGAAUUGGUAUAAAAGUUUUUUGGGUAAAUUUCACUUAUCUCCCCUGAGGUUUAUAAAAAAUAUAACCACCUUUUCUGUAUUUUUAAAAAUUAUAUUAUAUUUUUUACUUUUGAAAUUAUUGUCAAAAUUCUUUCAUGAAGCUAAUUUUUGUCCAAAAAUAAUAAGAUUACCCUUAUAUUUAAGAUUUUUAAUUUUUUUCUCAAUACACCAAUUAAUAUAAAAUAAAUAUUUUAUUUUUCUCAAAAUACCAUUUAUUUGAAAACUACUCUAUUUUUUAUUUUUUAUCAAUAAGUAAGUAACUUUUAAAAAAAUAAUUGAGCUAAAUAAUUUACUUUUUAAGUACUCAUAAUCAAAAUAUACUAAAAAAUAAAAUUUAAAAAAAUAAUAUUUAUUUUAAAAUUAAUUCAAAUAUUUUACUUUUUAAGUGUUAUUAAUCUAAAUAUACUUAAAAAAUAAAUUUUACUAUCAAUUUUUUUUUUAAAAAAAGAUAGUGUUUAUUUAUUUUAAUUAUUGUAUUGAGAAGAAACUUUAAAUUCCCUAAACAUAAAGGCAAUCUUGUCAUUCUUGCACAAAAAAUGUCUUUAGAGAGAAUCUUAACAAUAAUUUCUAAUAUAAAAAAGUUCAAUGCAAUUUUUAAAAGAAAAUUUAUUUCUACACUCCAAAAUAGGAGUGUAUGAAUCAUUUUUAGAGUGUAAAAAUCAUUUUUUUUUUUUUAAAUUAUACAUGAGGUAUCUGUAUUUGUCAGAAACUUCAGGAAUGUCAGUAAAAUUCACCCAAGUUUUUUAUUUGGUUCAAUAAUGCAGUCACUAAUUAGCACGUGGGUUUUCCUUCCCUGAUUGGAUCACCACCAGAGAGAGGCCCUAAGGAGACGUGCGGUCCAACCCGUUUGGGCCUAGGCGAACUCACACUCACGCCCAACAAAUAAACUAAUUUCCGAAAAAUAAAGCCAUUUUUUGUAAUUUUGUUUUCAUGGCUGCACAGUAACACAUCACAAAAGAACUUGAAAAACGAUAGAAAAUGGCAAUAUGCAAGAAAAAGAAGUAAAAGAGCAACACUCAAUUAUCAAACACUACAUACAAUAUAUGAAAGAAUUACAGAGGACGAGAAAGGAAAGAAGUGUCUCAGAUGUAUUAAAAUGGGUUGUUUCAUGCUGUUAUAGCCCAUUUAAUUUUGUAUCUAAUCGUGAUUGACAUAUGCAGGGGCAGUACCAUCCAGGAGCAUGAGCUAUAGCUCUCCCUCGCUCUCCCUCACUUCUCAAAAAUUAUAAAUUUUAUUUUAAAUUUUAAAAUUUUUUACACUUUAGCCCUCUUAAAAUAUAUUAUUAUUUUUUUUAUACUUUACCACUGACAUAAAAUUCUGGAUCCGUCCCUAGAUGUAUGGUUCCUAGCUUAGCCCACUUUUAAAAUUGUACGAUGUCAUGCCAUCUCAUUUGCAUCAAACCUACUUUGACCCAUCGACCCUUAUGAAGACGUCACAAACUCAUACCUUGCGAUGUGUUGUGUUUCAUGGUCGUUGUGCUCUUGCCAUACCCCUCCCUCCACUUUCCUACUUAUGUCGUGUCAGUUCUAUUGCCCCCCAAAACAAUGUUACCGUCUGGCACAACCUUAGCGCUUGUGUUCUGCCCCACCUAAAUCGAUUCAUAUUGUGCUCGUGGCCGGAGACCCAGCCCACUUCACAGCUCGACAAGUGCCAUGGGUUGGGAAAGAAAAGAGAGGGAGCAAAUCAAAAUAUUAGGGAGCAUUAUUACUUGUUUAAUUGGAGUUUGCAUGUUGUGGGAGUGUGAGAAUGAUAUGAAAUGACGUUAACGGUGGCUAGAAAGUGAAUUUUGGUGGCAGAACUUCGGUCGGCAAGCUUGUAAGACAGAAACAAUGAGAAAGAUCAUCCAGAGCUGUUCCAGGGAUAACUCUUUGAUGGUCAAGUUAGUGCUCAAAAAAGAAAAGAGCAAGAAAAUGGUUAUUGGCUCUAGUUUUAGAAAGAGAAAGUCAUGAGAGAGAGAGAGAGCACAUUUGGGAGAGAAGGGUUGUCUCAUUUUAUAUUGCAGCUCAGCGCGUUUGAGGAUGCUCCGACUGCCAUGUCAGCGAGUAGACCAACCCAAUCAUCGGAGUUGGGACCCAAGUGUGUGAAUAACAGAGAGAACUUAUUGUGUACGUUACCUUCUGACCCUAAAGUCUGGCCUUGGGCAUCUCUAUCUGAACAAUUUCAUAGAUCGUGCUCUUGUACGAAAAUACCGACCGAACUUGUUAUAAAGCAACAAUUUGCAGGCAACGCUCGUCCAAACUCAAUCGAAAAUGAAAUAUGAUAUUUUAUCCUCCACAAAUUUAUAUUUAUAGUUUCAAUAACUAUGCAUGAAAUGUCAAAGCAAUCACAGUUACCGUGCAUAUAUGUGAGGUCUCCUCCUAUUGGGCCCUAUAAAUAGCAUAUAUGUAUGGGCCGCACUGACACAUUCGUUGAAUGAUAGUAGCAUGGAUUUUAUGUAACAGACAGGCUAUGUUGGGACAUGCCCACCUUAUUUAGGUAACACCCACCCAAUAUGAACAAAAUUAAUACGAACCUAAUCUAGGUUCGAGGUUAAUUACUGCAUGCCCAAGAGUCCAUAACAAGUGAGCUGCCAUGUACAAUAAUGAACAUACAUGAAGUGCGGCCAACAAAUCAUUUACUGAACCGUCUUCUCCUGUUACACUUUUGGAAAUAUUAGGUUCCCUCUCUUCAAAGGGUUAUAUAUCUUUUUGGCACAAUCAAAGAUAGGAAUAGCAUUCCCUACGACUAUCUAUCUAAUUGGGGUUAAAAUGUUUUUUUAGAUUAAGAAGAAAAUGCUAGAGGAUAUUCUGGUCCCAUACAAUUUAAUUGGAUAAAUUACUUUUGCAUUGCAUUUUUACUAGUAAAAUUUUGUUUUUAAUUGCAUCGGUCAACUUCUCAUAAUUUAAGUCAAGUAUCAAUAUAGACUAUUUGUUAUUAUAAAGUUCAAUUAAUGGAUGAAAAGAUGUUAUUUGGCCUCUCAAGAUGACUCUUAAUUGAACGGAAUGUUGACAAAAAAGUUACAACGAUAUUUAACUUAAACCCUAAAUGGUUUGCUGGCAGUGUUAAAGUUAAUAGUAGAAAGUGAAACUUAGGCUCCGUUUGCUAGUGCUUAAAAGUCAAGUUUUUUUAAACUUGCUAUAAAUUUAAAAAAUAAAAAAAUCACUUACUAGUUUUUUUGUUUAUAAAUUUAAAAAAAAUCAACAAAAAAACUGGUACCAAAUGGAGCCUUAAGGUAAAAAGUAUAGGAGUGGCAAGUAGGGCUGUGCAAAUAUCCGUCAACCCGUCAAACCCGAACCCGAUCAAACCCUCUCACUCUACGGAUGAAUAACAGGUAAAAAUUAACUAACCCGAUCACAUUCGGUUCGGGUGUCGGGCUAUUAAAUCGUCCAAUCCGACCGCCCAACCUAACAAAAUAUUAUGCUAAAAUUCAUAAUUUUUAUCCAACCCGACCCCAACCCUACCAAAUUCCAUUCGAUCCGAUUCGACCAUUUAUUGGAUCGGAUUCAGGCCCAAAAUUUUUCAAUCCGAUCAAUUCAGUUCGGGUGUCGGGUAACCCAACCCGACCCGACCGACCCAUGAACAUCCUAGGGGCAAGUGUAAUGGGCACAAAAAACACAUAAACUUGAUGACUAUUACAACCCAGUGAUCAAAUUAAAACCCGACCCGAAUCUGCACACCCCUAGAAUUCUUCGGUACGCAUCUUUGACAAGAACAAAGGUGAGGGUCAGAGAGAGAGAAGACAGAGAAAGAAAAUGGCGUCGAACGCGGCGGUGCCGUUCUGGAGAGCGGCGGGGAUGACAUACAUAACGUACUCGAACAUAUGCGCGAACCUCGUGAGGAACUGCCUCAAAGAGCCCCACAAAUCCGAAGCCCUCACCCGCGAGAAAGUCCAUUUUUCCGUCUCCAAAUGGGCCGAUGGAAAACCCCAGAAACCCAGUAAUUCCUUUUCUUCUUCGUCUUCUCCUCUCUCUCUCUCUCUCUCAACAUUAUCUUACCUGUCAUUUGAUUUCUAUUGCUGCCUCUGAUCUAGGGUUUCUUUUAUCCAUGAUUGAUUCCGCUGUUUGUUAUAGGAUAUUAGAUUAUCUGAUAACAAUGUGUGUUUCACUUUCUGAAAAUGAUGAUUGUAUUAUCGAAUUAUUAUGAAUCUGCCGGUCUUAUGAGAUUCUAUAUGACUCUGACAUGGAUUUGUGUAUUUAGACUCCAUCGGCAUAGACGUGGAUUUCAAAUCAAGGGAUAUGAUGUUUAAUCUCAACUAAAAUAUAAGAAAUUUAGCUAUAGGUGGGUUGCAAAAUUCCAGGGGAAGGUGGUUUAGAGUUAGAAGAUAUGUAUUUCUUUAAUAACAAUAACUACAAUCAUGCUAUUGAAAUAUUAGUGGUUUCAACAACUCAGUGUCGAAAUCCAAAUGCAAACUACCAAAUCUAAGUGUAAGCAAUUCUCAUUGAAUGAUAUCAAGUUUUUUCAAUUGAAAUCCACAUCCAUCAAAUGGAGCCUAGUUUUUAAGAAAUCCGAAUUUCCACUAUUAGAAACAUGCCUGAGUUUUUUCUAAUUAUGCGCGCACAUUUCUUUUCAUAAAGAGUACCCAAAACUAAAAGGCUGAGCAAGAGGAAAUGAAAAGGGUCAAGUGUUAUCGUCUCUAUUAAGUAUCUCCCUUUGCCACCCUCAUUCUUCCUAAGUACUAAGGAGCUCAGGAAGCAAGUGUAUUAUUGUUAACCGUCAAGGUUCUUGUCUAGCUAUCAGAGAAAAUAUUUUCUCUCUCUCAGUCUCAGUUGUAGGACUGGGUUACUUGAUUGUGUUCUCCAUUAUCCACUGGCAAAUAUCCUCCACAUUUUCUUGUAUUUCUCUAACAUAAUAGGAGAGGAGGAUCCGUAGUAAGUUGUCGGCCUCUUCUUUUGCUUAGAAUGAUGUAUUGUCCCAUUGUUGCGUCUGAUCUAGGUCCAUUUCUCUUGUAUCCAAAUGAGGCGGCAACCAGAAACCAGUAACUUACUUAUCCAUCUCAUUUAUCAUCUAAUUUCAAUUGUUGCCUCUGAUGUAGGGCCACUUUUACAUAGGAUUAAUUCCUCUGUUUGUUAUAUGAUAUUUGAUUAUUUGGUGAGGAAAUGUGUCUUACUCUCUUAAAAUGAUUGAUUGUGUUCAAAAUCUAUUGUGAAUCUGCUGCUUUUAGCGAGCUUCUUGUGAUGUUGACUAAUGGGUUUUGGAUUUAGGGGUUUAUAGGUGACCUUACAAGGGGACUUUUCCUCUUCAAAAUAACAUUAUGAUAUUGGUUCAUGUUUCCUCAUUAAACUAGAACACUUGCCGCAUCAUAUAUAUUCUGGCUGCUUGUGGGGCAUUUUGGACUUUGAAUUUUCUUUGAAGCUUGGAUAUAGGAACUGACGUGAUGAUUCUGUUCAAAUUCUUGGUUGCGUAGUAAUUUGUCAAAAAGUUUCUGUCACAGUUUAAGGUUUCCUGUGCUUUAAUAGGUUGUUUGAAUUUCAACUGUGAGAAAUAUGCCUGAAUUUGUCAAAUUAGGGCCAUACAUUUCUUUGUUUAUUCAGAAUACUCAAAACAGUGAGGCAAAGGUAAUAUAAAUGUUCCGUGGUACUGCUUGUAUGAAGUGUUUCGCUUUCCCACUCUCAUUCUUCCUAGGCACUAGUAAAGGAGCUAAGGAAAGGAAUACAUUAAGAGUCUAGCAAUCAGAGAAAAGAUUUGUAUCACACUCGGUCUCAGGUGUAGAAGUGGGUUACGGGAUUGUGUGAUAAUGAUGGUUCUCCAUUACCACAUCUAAAUGGCCUCCUUUUUUUUUUAUUUCUCACACAAUGGGGAUGGCAGAAUACGUAACAAAUUAGAAUUACUGUUUUUGGGCCAUAGCAGGUGUAGAUGAUCCAUCGUAAUUUCUUGGCCUUUUGUGUUGCUUAGAACGAUCUAUGAUGUCAUUGGCUUUGUCAGCCUCCUGCUCUUGUUCCCUUUUUGCAAAAGUUUGGAUACAUUCUCUAAGAGUUUUUAGGGGUGCCAUAUUAUCUUCCAAGACUUCCAUUGCUUUAUCUCAGUGCCAUGUGCUUUUAAGCAAGCACGAAAAAUUGGCAAAAAAGGGAUUCGUUGAACAGUCCUGACUCUUGAGUCAGUAGUGGAGCACCUAUUACUAUUUAAAUAUUCCUGUAGGUGACACACCGUGUACGCACAAGACUUGUUGGUAAUGUGGCAUAAUUCUAUGUAAUUGUAUCGUUUUACUUUUGGUGGAUAAAUUAAUAUUGGUGAACCUGAGGGCGAUGGGUGUUGAUUAUUUGUCGGAUUGUUAGGUGAGAUGCUAUUCAUCUGUGUAUAUUAAGCAGUAAGUUGCUGGAUUUUUCAAGAUUGGAUUUUGGGAUUUCAUAAUGAGAAGUUGAGUAGAUAUUGUCUUGGUGUUUCUAGCUGGUUAUGGUAAUUGUUUAUGGAGAAGUGUGUUUUUUCCCAAAGUUUGGGCAUUGGGAGUUGUUCUGCUGAAAAUAGGUUGACUUUGAGAGUUAACAUUUUUUGUGAUUUCUAGUAUUUAUUUUGAAGGCUUCUUAGAGAGUUUGGUCAAGGAGAUCUUUAACUUAAUUAACUUCCUUUGCCAUGUGCAUUGAGAAUCUGAGAUGGUCAUAGAUCAUUUGGACUUUAGCAGGCUAUCACCACGAUGGAUGGUUUGUGUCAGUUUCUCUAAGAUAGAGCACUUUCAUCAUCUUCUUGUGAAUCUUCUUGUGUCUCUGUUGCCCAACUUAUAGGUUUACCAUUCUUAGAGCAUCUCCAACAACAGUAGUCGAAGUACCUUGCCAAAAAGUACAUUUUUUAUUUUAGCUAUUCAUUUUGUGCCCAAAUCCUCCAGCAACACUUGCCACUUUUCUCUAACUAUUAAUUUUUUUCUUCUUCUAAUUACUUCCAAUCUAGAACCAUCGGCACCACCGUUUGGUCCACCUAAUUUCUUAACUCAAAGAGCCAUCACCGCCACUGCUCCACCAAACCCACCCCACAAAAUCAAUUGAAUCCCGUAAAUUUAUAGAUCGAGCUCUCAAAAAGGUGGAUUGCCUGUUUUCGGCAGCGGUGGCUAGGCCGAUCUAACAUCAAUACAUGGUGUUUCAAUUUCCCCUCCAUGUCCAAACUCUGAAAUUUUUCAUCCUCAAGUCGGCUCUGCAAGCAUUUGUGCGAGAAGAAAGGCGAAUAUAAACCCCAUUAAAAAGGGCUAUAUCAAGACACGAUUCGUAGGUGAAAACAGAAAGCAAAUAAGUGGCUUGUAGUCCAGGGAUUCGUCAUCAUUUGCAGAGCAUUCAUCACAUAUUAUCCUGAUUUGUCAUUUUCUUGCCUCUUUAUACUCAUUAUGUAUUGCAAUUAUAGGAGUCAUACGUGUUCUUUGCGUUUGAUUGCUUCUUGAAUAUCAAAAGUUUUAUGUUUUCUGAUAAAUAAUCUCAUUUUUUUUUUUCAUCAGCCAUUCGUUCGGACACUCCUGAAGAAUGAGGCAGGAAGCUGGUUGCCAAGUCUGCCCGAGUUUCUUUUGUUUGCUCAGGUUUUACAUGGUGGUACUGAAAUUGUAAUAAAUAAUGUAGCUCAAAAAUCUGUUUACAUCUUGAGUGGUGAUUGGGAUUUCUCCAUGUUUGUUCAAAAUGAUCCAUGCUACUCCACUCCUUGAUUUUAUUAUUAUGAUCCUUUGAUUGCUAUUUUUCCCUAGAACUAAACGAAGUAAGGUUCCUCUAUUUUGAAAGCAUGGUUCCUUGUUCUGUCAUGAUCUCGAUGAGUCGAAAAGAAAAUUACCAAGAAGAAGAUUUCUUUUCUUUUCUUUUUCUCUUUGGUAGAUCAAUGAAAAAUCAUUCCACAAACACUCUGACCCUGACUCCACCCGUACAAAUGUUUUCUAAAAUAUUGCAUUCGAUUCCAGAAGAUCAUCCAGUCAUGAUUUUCACUCAAAAGUACAAUGAUCGAAACAUAGCUUUUCGUCUUCAUUAAAAAAACGAACGAACCCAUUUGAAAACCAUAUUACGUUCACGGGGGGACCAAACAGCUACAAAAGCCCAAGCUUAGCCUUAUAAGUUUUGAAUCCGGUGUGCGUAUAUUUUUGGCAAGAAGACCCGAUCUCAAAGGCUCCGAUCCCUGGCAUAGGGUUCUAAGUUUUAUCACAAGAUCCAUCCCUGUUUCUUCCAAGGGGUUUUGCCACUCUGUGAGGGGAUGGAGGUAGCAGCCGCAGCCGCCAUGGCGACCAUCAAAGUUCAGAGAAUAAUGACCCAACCUGGCGUACACUCUCUCCGUCUAUCUCUAUCUCUCGUUCUCUCUACUUAGAUGUAUAUAUCUUAACAAUACGGAUAUGCCU
rnacentral:lncRNA from 1 species